AAUAAUGAGUGCACUUUAUUGUGGCUYUAAAAUUUUCAAUAAAUUUCACCCAUUUUAAACCCAAAGCUGUUAUGUGUACCUCUUUUGGUAUAACAUCUCAGUAGUACGCAUCAUGUGGGAUCUUUUUCUCACAAGUUGCAUUACCCCCCCCUUUAUAAGUGACCCACUUUAUCAAUUACUCUAAAAUGUUUUAGGAAUGUAAAUGCCCCUUUAAUUAUAUAUAACUUUUAACAAUGGAUCUCUUGGCUCUCACAUCGAUGAARAACACAGWACCUGUUUGAGUGUCAUGAAACCCUCUCAUUCCAAUUCUUUAUUUAUUUAAAGGGUUGUGAUAUGGAUGUUGAGUGCUGCCGUUAUUGGCUCGCUUUAAAUAUAUAAGUACUUUUAUCAAACAAUAAAUGGAUUUACUUGGUGUAAUAUUUAUUAUUCAUUGAGGAGUGUGGUUUAAUUACUGCAGCCAUUUGCCUUUUGAUAGAUAGCUUCCGAACCCCAAUUAUUAUGUAUUUAGACCUCAAAUCAGGUGGGACUACCCGCUGAACUUAAGCAUAUCAAUAAGCGGAGGAAAAGAAACUAACAAGGAUUCCCCUAGUAACGGCGAGUGAAGAGGGAAAAGCC
rnacentral:rRNA from 1 species